UAAUUGAAGAGUUUGAUCAUGGCUCAGAUUGAACGCUGGCGGCAGGCCUAACACAUGCAAGUCGAGCGGUAACAGGAGAAAGCUUGCUUU
rnacentral:rRNA from 1 species